rnacentral:rRNA from 1 species
CCUACGGGCGGCAGCAGUGAGGAAUACUGGUCAAUGGACGAGAGUCUGAACCAGCCAAGUAGCGUGAAGGAUGACUGCCCUAUGGGUUGUAAACUUCUUUUAUAUGGGAAUAAAAUGUUCCACGUGUGGGUUUUUGUAUGUACCUUAUGAAUAAGGAUCGGCUAACUCCGUGCCAGCAGCCGCGGUAAUACGGAGGAUCCGAGCGUUAUCCGGAUUUAUUGGGUUUAAAGGGAGCGUAGGUGGAUUGUUAAGUCAGUUGUGAAAGUUUGCGGCUCAACCGUAAAAUUGCAGUUGAUACUGGCAGUCUUGAGUACAGUAGAGGUGGGCGGAAUUCGUGGUGUAGCGGUGAAAUGCUUAGAUAUCACGAAGAACUCCGAUUGCGAAGGCAGCUCACUAAACUGCAACUGACACUGAGGCUCGAAAGUGUGGGUAUCAAACAGGAUUAGAUACCCUAGUAGUC